AGGAAGCUGAUUGGCGGG
rnacentral:snRNA from 1 species